rnacentral:rRNA from 1 species
UGGGGAAUAUUGGACAAUGGGCGCAAGCCUGAUCCAGCCAUGCCGCGUGAGUGAUGAAGGCCCUAGGGUUGUAAAGCUCUUUCACCGGUGAAGAUAAUGACGGUACCUACAGAAGAAGCAACGGCUAAAUACGUGCCAGCAGCCGCGGUAAUACGUAUGUUGCGAGCGUUAUCCGGAAUUAUUGGGCUUAAAGGGCAUCUAGGCGGUAAGACAAGUUGAAGGUGAAAACCUGUGGCUCAACCAUAGGCUUGCCUACAAAACUGUUGAACUAGAGUACUGGAAAGGUGGGUGGAACUACACGAGUAGAGGUGAAAUUCGUAGAUAUGUGUAGGAAUGCCGAUGAUGAAGAUAACUCACUGGACAGAAACUGACGCUGAAGUGCGAAAGCUAGGGGAGCAAACAGG